CUUUGACUAUUGUCAUUAGAGCAUUGCUUGUCAAAUGGUCUAAAAUAAGUCAGUGCCUUCACAGAUAUGACAGAAAACACAUUCAUUUGGUCUUCUAUACAGUAUGCACUAAAGUGGUCAUCAUAGUACAUUGUUUGUACAUUACAGGAUAUUAUGAAAGCGUGCUGUUCAUGUAUUAUAAUAUCACAGAUCUUUUUGAACACAGGAAGAUCAUCGGUACAUCCAGUGCAUAAGUACAACCCAACCUGGUACUCAGUACCGUAAUAUCUGACCCACCUUGUACUUGUAACAUUUGAACAGGCGUCCAAAUGUAAUGUCUAAAGCUGCCCCUGAUGUGUGUGCCUUGCACGGGAUUGCUUUUCGGUCGAUAAUAAGGUAGAACCUUUGGAUAUUCUUCUUUUGCUCACCGAUGCAAAGGAGGAACGGUUGUUUGCGUCGACACUCUCAAGGAAGGUAGUAAUACUGGCUCCUUCCUGUAGGUCAGUUAAGAGACAUAAAUGACUAUAACAUCUUGAUCACAUUUCUGCAGAUAUACAGAGCAAAACUGUCUCAGAAUCCCAACAUCUAUUCAGGGAUUCUUGGUGUAGGAACUUUUGCAUACCUUAAGAUAUCUAACAAGAUGGCUGGUUGCUUGAGCUGAACUGAUCUUGGCAGUUUUUUUCUGGCCCCUUGAAGUUGGAGGGAGUAGAUGCAGCAGUAAAAGGAUUGAAGACAUAUCACUGUCCCAUCCUAAAGGCAUAAAAAAUGUAUUUAUUUAGUAUAACACUGAAAUAUAUAUUUAAACAAAACGUUUUAUACUGACCAUUGUUCUCUUCAGACUCAGAUUCAGUUGCUGACAGCAACUCAUCCAUAUUCUUUGCAGUCUUGCAGUCUGUGAUGUUUGGCUUGAAGAAAGUUGACCACUUGGACAGGAACUUCUGAGACACUUCGUCACCAAACAUCAUUGAGAAAUCCUGGUCGAUCUACAAACAAGGAAAACAAUAUUUUAAUAUAAAGGUACAUCAAGAAAACGAGGGAACACAUCCAGGACUGAAGAUGAUGCAUCAUCCCCAACCAUCUUCUGUCGAUACUGGAAGGUUGACAGAGAUUCUCGCCUGGUUUUUGGACCAUCCUGAAGAAUGGUCUUGGAACGACCCCGCAAGUCAGCAAAGGUGUUGCGUUGAACCGUCUUGAUCCUCC
ensembl:lncRNA